rnacentral:rRNA from 1 species
GACGAACGCUGGCGGCGUGCUUAACACAUGCAAGUCGAACGGUAAGGCCCUUCGGGGUACACGAGUGGCGAACGGGUGAGUAACACGUGGGUGAUCUGCCCUGCACUUCGGGAUAAGCCUGGGAAACUGGGUCUAAUACCGGAUAGGACUCCUGCCUGCAUGGGUGGGGGUGGAAAGCUUUUGUGGUGUGGGAUGGGCCCGCGGCCUAUCAGCUUGUUGGUGGGGUGAUGGCCUACCAAGGCGACGACGGGUAGCCGGCCUGAGAGGGUGACCGGCCACACUGGGACGGCGAUACGGCCCAGACUCCUACGGGAGGCAGCAGUGGGGAAUAUUGCACAAUGGGCGCAAGCCUGAUGCAGCGACGCCGCGUGAGGGAUGACGGCCUUCGGGUUGUAAACCUCUUUCAGCACAGACGAAGCGCAAGUGACGGUAUGUGCAGAAGAAGGACCGGCCAACUACGUGCCAGCCGCCGCCGUAA